rnacentral:rRNA from 1 species
AUUACCGAGUGAGGGCCCUCUGGGUCCAACCUCCCACCCAUGUUUAUUGUACCUUGUUGCUUCGGCGGGCCCGCCUCACGGCCGCCGGGGGGCUUCUGCCCUCUGGCCCGCGCCCGCCGAAGACACCAUUGAACACUGUCUGAAGAUUGCAGUCUGAGCAAUUAGCUAAAUAAGUUAAAACUUUCAACAACGGAUCUCUUGGUUCCGGCAUCGAUGAAGAACGCAGCGAAAUGCGAUACGUAAUGUGAAUUGCAGAAUUCAGUGAAUCAUCGAGUCUUUGAACGCACAUUGCGCCCCUUGGUAUUCCGGGGGGCAUGCCUGUCCGAGCGUCAUUGCUGCCCUCAAGCACGGCUUGUGUGUUGGGCCCCGUCCUCCUUCCCGGGGGACGGGCCCGAAAGGCAGCGGCGGCACCGCGUCCGGUCCUCGAGCGUAUGGGGCUUUGUCACCCGCUCUUGUAGGCCCGGCCGGCGCUUGCCGACAACCAUCAAUCUUUUUUCAGGUUGACCUCGGAUCAGGUAGGGAUACCCGCUGAACUUAAGCAUAUCAAUAAGCGGAGGAAAAGAAACCAACAGGGAUUGCCUCAGUAACGGCGAGUGAAGCGGCAAGAGCUCAAAUUUGAAAGCUGGCCCCCUCGGGGUCCGCAUUGUAAUUUGCAGAGGAUGCUUCGGGAGUGGCCCCCAUCUAAGUGCUCUGGAACGGGCCGUCAUAGAGGGUGAGAAUCCCGUAUGGGAUGGGGUGUCCGCGACCAUGUGAAGCUCC